UCAUUACUUCCAAAUGACAAUAUUAUUCUUUAAAAUUGUACCUUAAUAUAUUUAUUCAAAUAUUUUCAGAAAACUAACCUUUUUCAUAAAUAAUGUGAAGACCAAAUAAUGGCUACAAUUCCUGCUGUAUGGCAAUCUCUACAUAAUAACAGCUGUUGUUCUCUUGCCCAUGAGUGUGAAGAUCAUAAAGUUUGCAACCUUUUUGCAAAUGAGGAUAGCUAAUAAAUAUGCAACGAGAGGCACAAGGAUCAAACUUGAAGGGGUGUUGUGAGUGAGUGGAAGCAAAACACAAACAUCCAAAUACUCGCAGAUGAUGGUAUGUGGGUUUCUUUUUGUAUUAUUUUUCAUAAGGAGGCAACCCUGAUAAAGUGGGAGUAGAGGUUCAAUUGAUCAAAUAAGUGACAGUGAGAAUGGCAUCUCCCCAAAAAAUGUUUGGGCAAAUUGGCUUGAAAAAGCAAAGCCCAAGAAACAUUAAUUAAAUGGCGAUGUUUCCGUUCUAUCACCCCAUUUUGUUGUGGGGUGGAAACACAACUUGUCUGAUGGAUAAUUUUCUUCUUAGAAUAAUAGAGAGGGAUAUCAAACUUAGAGCCAUUAUCACUACGAAUAAUUUUGAUGGUGGUUGAGAAUUGAUUUUCAAUAAGCUGGACAAAAGAUUGGAGAAGGGUUCGAGUCUCAGACUUAUGACGCAUUAAAUAUACCCAUGUGCAUCUAGUGUAGUCAUCCCCAAUGGCGUGGAAAUAAUGAGCCCUAGUGAUAGAAGGAACACGAUACCCAUCCCAAAUGUCAACAUGUAACAAAGUAAAAGGUGCAGCGGUAGAAAUAGAACCAGAUUGAAAUUUAAGAGAGUCUGUUUAGCCAAAGGACAAACAAAAUAUGGUUCUGAAUUGGGAGAACCAAUUUUAGAGACAUUAUUGGAUAAAAAAGACAAGACUUUAUUUGAUGGAUGGCCUAGUCGACGAUGCCAAAGUUGAGAGAAAAAUUUAGCCACUUGACAGCAAGAAUAUCUGGUAUUACUAAAGUAAUAUAGGCCAUACCGCUCAAUUCCUAGUCCAAUCAUCCUCACCGAGCCAAGGUCCCAAAUGGAACAAAAAUCAAAAGAAAAAGUGAUGAGACAAUUAAAGGUUUUACAUAGUGUACUAACUGAAAUCAAAUUGAAAUAAAAUGUUAGUACACAAAGAACAUUUUUAAGAAUAAGAGAGGAUGAAAAUAUAUUGUUCCAAUAUGUGUGACGAAUGCAUGAGAGUCGUUUGGCAAUUGGACCGUACGAUUAUAUACAGGAAUGGAAUGAGUUAAGAGAGUAGGAGAUUGGACCAUAUGGUCAGUAGCUCCACUAUCAAGAAUUCAUAGAUUAUUAUCAGAAGGGACAGAUGAUAUACCUGAGAGAGAAGUUUGAGUGCUACCUACGUGGUUUGCCAUAAACUCUGAACAAGAUUAAUAGAUAACUCAUCCCAUAAACUCUUCAAUCUGGUAAAAUAGGUAGUGAUAGAUAUAAUGCCUUGAACAAGAUUAUGAAUGUCUUGUUCGAGUUGAAACAUGCGAGGGCCAUUAACUUGAGAAAAACAAUCUUUUAGAUCUACCCAAAUCUCACGAGCAUUAUCACAAUAAAGAAUACUUGAUGAAAUCUCUCUUGAAACAGAAUUAAGCAACCAAGACUUUACCAGAUCGUUGCAUCGAACCACUGCUUUGAAUUCGGUCAAUUAUGAACUUGUCGGUUUGGAAAUGGUGCCAUCAAUGAACCCAAGUUUGUUUUUGGCACUGAGAGCUGCAAUAUUGGCACGGCUCCAUGCAUUGUAAUUUUCUUCUGUGAGAGGUUGAGCUACCAAUAACACUUCUGGUUAGUGAGAAUGAUGAAGAGAAAUGUGGUGGUUUGGAUCUUCAAAACUCUGCUUUUCGCUAGCCAUAAGUGCUUUUUUUUUUGGCUUGAGAAAAGGAUGCUGAAGCCACUAAGGUGGUAGCUCAGUGGAACAUGGCGUUGUCUUCUAACCGCAUGGUUCCAAAUUCGAAUCGCCCUGUCGAUUAAAAUGUGGUGACACUACUUGGACAUGAGGUCUAGGAGCACUUACUGGUCCGCUGGUAGCUUUGGUGGUGCCAGGUAUGACGUACUCACCCUUGGAUGGAGAGGGUAUGAGUAAAACUUAUCUGGCCGCAUCGAACAUUCUCCUAUCGGAGGCGAGGGCUCCAAUAGGGGCUACUACACGGAGGUGGGCUUAUCCCUUCCUCCCUCCUACCCUUUUCUUUGAUGCUGAAAAAAAUCUAGUGCGGUGGAGGCGAUGAUAUGGUGCGGCAGGAGGCGAAUGAAGAGCACGGAUCAGCGACGUGGCGCGGUUCUACGCGUCGAUGAGUUGAGAGUCAAAGGCGCGGAUCGAGUGCGGCGCAAGCGCAGCAUGAGCUUGGGUCUGACUCGUGCGGCAGGCCUGAACCUGACUCUCAGGUUGUGGGUGGACCAAAGAAAUAGGCCUCCAGGUGUUUGACAAAAUAUCUCAACUGUAGACAAAUACCAAAAACACGCCUACAAAAGCACAACCAUCAGUAGCAACCAAAACCGGUGAACCACAUGGCCUAACCGAAAAAAGAAAACUCGUUUUCGCCAAAUCUAAACCACACGAUAAGCUCUGUUUUUCAAGAGCUUAAACAGAAGAUCGGCGGAAAAGAAAAAAAAUGGGCAUCUAGAAUUGUUUCUACGCUCUGAUACCAUGAUAAAAUUAGAGUUAGAUAACAAACGGAAGCAUAAAGAGAAAGUGAAGGAGAGACCGUAUUGAGAAUAAAUUUCUGUGCGUGUUGUCGUCCUACAUGGUCCUAUUUAUGCACAUAAUUGGGGAAUAAAUUGCAAGAUUACAGGAAGCAAAUAAAGUAGGAAGCAUUUAGUCCCACAUCGACCGUUCAGCGGAAAGGUCUGUGCCUUAAAUGGGGGCCUCAAUAACCUCUUCUCACCGAGGCGCCUUUUGGAGACAAAACCGUGAGGGACGCCCAAGCCCCCUGUGCGAGCUCCGUGCCCACAGGUGGGUGCGCACCCCGUGCGAGCUCCGCGCCCACGGGGCCCAGAGCGGACAAUACCUCGGUGGGAACGCAUUUGCUUUCCCUACUCGGCUCGGUUUGGGACUAUGCUGUUGUCGGGGUGAAAAUCCCGCAACACUAGCCAUUGUCCUUUGACCCAAUGAUCUUGCCAAACUCUUCGGGUCCAUUAAUGUCGUGAUGGGAGGACCCAAAUUCUUGGUGUCCUUCCUUAACACCCUGAAGUAGACUUCCAAAUCCCUGUACCAUAGGGCAAGAAGCUUAAAUUAGAUCAAAAUAGAAUGGUCCUACGUACUCAGCACCCACUGAAACUAAGAGUACCAAAAGUGAACCGGUUUCUCAAGUAGCCGCUGCCUUUUUAUAUAUAUAAGAACCCAUACUGAGCUCUCACCAUUCAAUAACAGCACCAUUAUUUCCGUGAAACAGCUCCAUGGAGUUGCCCAAACUAACUAAUGCAGCUUCCAUCCUCAGUAUCUUUUGAAAUAGAAUAAUGGCUGGUAAAAUGAUUACUAACUUACUAUAAGGCCCUCCGAAAGAUAAAUUCAUUACUUCCAAAUGACAAUAUUAUUCUUUAAAAUUGUACCUUAAUAUAUUUAUUCAAAUAAUUUCAGAAAACUAACCAUUUUAAUAAAUAAUGUGAAAACCAAAUAAUGGCUACCAUUCCUGCUAUUGGGGGAAAAAUGGACCACCCCACAAGUACAAUUAAAGCACCCAAAUCUGACAGCAAGCCUGAGCUCAUCAUGCAGGCCGAGCCGAGCUCCGAAGGCCGAGCUUAUGCAGGCCGAGCCGAGCUCAGAAGGCCGAGCUCGUCAUCCACAUGCUGCAGCCACGACCUGCAGCAGUCUCAUCCAGGCCAAGCUCAUGCAGGCCGAGCCGAGCUCAGAAGGCCGAGCUCCGAAGGCCGAGACCAGAAGGCUGUGGAGCUCAUUCAGGCCGAGCUCAUGCAGGCUGCCGAGCUCCAAAAGCUGCCGAGCUCCGAAGGCCGAGACCAAAAGGUUGCCAAGCUCAGAAAGCUGCCGAGCUUAGAAAUCUGCCGAGCUCAGAAGGCCGAGCACAGAAGGCCGGGACCAAAAGGCCGAGACCAGAAGGCUGCCAAGCUCAGAAAACUGCCGAGCUCAUCCAGGUUGAGCUCAGAAGGCCGAGCUGACCUCAGAAGGCCGACCUCGUCGUCCACAUGCUGCGGCCAUGCCCUGUAGCAGCCUCAUCGCACCAUGCUUUACUUGCCGGCCACGCCACGACAUAUCAACCAAUGACCAUACCCUGCUACGACUGUCAAUGCCUCACCAUUCCCAAGAAUGGACUGCACUGCGCCACAAGCAAGCUUUGGCUGCACGCCAUCUCCUCCCAUGAUGGGAACGGGCCAUCCACGGCAACUCAUUACUUCCACGCCCACGUCGAAUCGUGACGGUAACCCAUUAAUUCGCCCAGUCACAUCACAGGUAACCCUGGCACUCUCCCUAUAAAAGGAGAGCUUCUCCCUCUAAAGAGGGGUUUUCUUCCUCCCAAGGGAGGGUUUGGGACUUUUACUUACAGUCGAUCUCCUUUUCCAAAAUUAAGCCCCCCUCUGACUUAAUCAUCGGAGG
rnacentral:lncRNA from 1 species